rnacentral:rRNA from 1 species
AUGGAGCCGACCUUGAAAUACCACCCUUUAAUGUUUGAUGUUCUAACGUUGACCCGUAAUCCGGGUUGCGGACAGUGUCUGGUGGGUAGUUUGACUGGGGCGGUCUCCUCCUAAAGAGUAACGGAGGAGCACGAAGGUUGGCUAAUCCUGGUCGGACAUCAGGAGGUUAGUGCAAUGGCAUAAGCCAGCUUGACUGCGAGCGUGACGGCGCGAGCAGGUGCGAAAGCAGGUCAUAGUGAUCCGGUGGUUCUGAAUGGAAGGGCCAUCGCUCAACGGAUAAAAGGUACUCCGGGGAUAACAGGCUGAUACCGCCCAAGAGUUCAUAUCGACGGCGGUGUUUGGCACCUCGAUGUCGGCUCAUCACAUCCUGGGGCUGAAGUAGGUCCCAAGGGUAUGGCUGUUCGCCAUUUAAAGUGGUACGCGAGCUGGGUUUAGAACGUCGUGAGACAGUUCGGUCCCUAUCUGCCGUGGGCGCUGGAGAACUGAGGGGGGCUGCUCCUAGUACGAGAGGACCGGAGUGGACGCAUCACUGGUGUUCGGGUUGUCAUGCCAAUGGCACUGCCCGGUAGCUAAAUGCGGAAGAGAUAAGUGCUGAAAGCAUCUAAGCACGAAACUUGCCCCGAGAUGAGUUCUCCCUGACUCCUUGAGAGUCCUGAAGGAACGUUGAAGACGACGACGUUGAUAGGCCGGGU